rnacentral:lncRNA from 1 species
UUUAAAGUCUCAAAGUUUUAUUGUUUCUCUCUAUUCACUUCUCCCGUUCUGUCACCCCUCUGAAACUCACUCCUCCAACCUCUCCUCCCAAACUCAUCAUCACCCUCCACCGUACCGACCCAUCUUCCCCAAAAGCAACGGGAACAUAUCUCGAAUUCGAUAGCUUAACCUUUGGAGUUCUAGACGGGAGUUGACACCUUCAAGUUCGAGGACAGGGGAAUCAUCUCCACAAAUUGACAACUUCAAGUUCUAGACGAGAAAUUGAACGCAGCAACCUGGAGACCAGAUCUCAACUUCGAUUCGUUAAACCCUUAACUAUUUUUCGACUUCUUUUAAGAUUUAACUAGGUUUCAGUUUCAAUUUCAAUUUUUGGUGUAAAUAAUUUUGUGAAGCCUUUUCUUAUUUUCGAAUUUACCCUUUGAAAAAUAAGAGCAGAUAUCUUAAAAAUGAAUAAUUCCGUUUUCUUUCUUUGCAGGCCUUAUCAAUUCCUAUUUUAUCUCCAAUAUCAAUGACUUGUCAAUUUGGUUGGUAGACUGUAUGAGUACUCCUUGGUGGUAUUUUAUCAUGUAAUUGCCAAAGAACUAGAACCGCACAAUUGUCUCUUUUACUGCCCUUCAAUUGUUUCUUUUCUGCUGUUGCCACCUUUGUUUCUUAUUCUCUCUUAUUGUUCUCUAAACCAUAGCACAAUUUGUUUAUGCCACAAGCAUCAUGUAAGCACGUAAACGGAUCAAAACGAACAGAGAGCUGCUCGAAUUGUAUUUGAAAAAAAUUCAUUUGACUCAACUCGAAUAUUUAUUAUUCGAAUCAAAUUAUAUUCAAACAACCCGCGAGCUUCAAAUUUAAAUUUGAAUUCAAGUUUUCACAUAAUAACUAGUUUUAUAAUAAAUAUAAUUAUAAAUUGAAUUUGUUGUUUUACUUAGAAAUGAG